rnacentral:rRNA from 1 species
CAUCGCUCAACGGAUAAAAGCUACCCUGGGGAUAACAGGCUUAUCUCCCCCAAGAGUCCACAUCGACGGGGAGGUUUGGCACCUCGAUGUCGGCUCAUCACAUCCUGGGGCUGUAGUAGGUCCCAAGGGUUGGGCUGUUCGCCCAUUAAAGUGGUACGCGAGCUGGGUUCAGAACGUCGUGAGACAGUUCGGUCCCUAUCCGUCGCAGGCGUAGGAAAUUUGAGAAGACCUGUCCUUAGUACGAGAGGACCGGGAUGGACGUACCUCUGGUGUACCAGUUGUCCUGCCAAGGGCAUGGCUGGGUAGCUAUGUACGGAAUGGAUAAGCGCUGAAAGCAUCUAAGCGCGAAGCCAACUUCAAGAUAAGAUUUCCCACCGCAAGGGUAAGACCCCAGAAAGACUAUCUGGUUGAUAGGUCGAAGGUGUAAGUGCAGCAAUGUAUUUAGCUUAUCGAUACUAAUAGGUCGAGGACUUGACCAAU